rnacentral:misc_RNA from 1 species
CUGGGUUUUGGGCUCUGCCCGCCACCCGCCCUCUGUUAUCUGGUGACUGUUGUUUCGGCCGGGCAACCGGCCGGCAGUACUCUUGAGUAAACUGAAGUCUGAUUUACUGUCAAAUAAA